rnacentral:rRNA from 1 species
AUACGUAGGUGGCAAGCGUUAUCCGGAAUUACUGGGCGUAAAGCGCGCGUAGGCGGUUUCUUAAGUCUGAUGUGAAAGCCCCCGGCUCAACCGGGGAGGGUCAUUGGAAACUGGGGAACUUGAGUACAGAAGAGGAGAGUGGAAUUCCAUGUGUAGCGGUGAAAUGCGCAGAGAUAUGGAGGAACACCAGUGGCGAAGGCGGCUCUCUGGUCUGUAACUGACGCUGAUGUGCGAAAGCGUGGGGAUCAAACAGGAUUAGAUACCCUGGUAGUCCACGCCGUAAACGAUGAGUGCUAAGUGUUAGGGGGUUUCCGCCCCUUAGUGCUGCAGCUAACGCAUUAAGCACUCCGCCUGGGGAGUACGGCCGCAAGGUUGAAACUCAAAGGAAUUGACGGGG